rnacentral:rRNA from 1 species
AUGGGACUGCAUGGCAGCGCGCUGGUGUGGGCGGAGGGGCACUACAACGGCGCCAUCAAGACGCGCAAGACGGUGCAGCCGGCCGUCGCCCAGGCGCAGGCGCCGGCGCCGGCGGCGGAGGCAGCCGACCAGGCCCGGAGCCGGCAGCUGCGGGAGCUGUUCGACUCGCUGGCCAGGGAGGCUGCCGCAGGCGGCGGGCCAGGCUUCAGGGACGUCCACGGCUGCGCCCAGGAGGCUCGGCGGCCCAGCGCGGCGCUGGCGCCGGAAGACCUGACGGAGACGGAGUGGUUCUAUCUCAUGUCCGCCUCCUACUCCUUCCCUCCCGGCGUCGGGGACGAGCUUACCCACCACCUUUUCGAUGAGAGGCUGCAAAUCGAUCCUCCACCGACGGUGCAUAGACAGAGGUACCCCGAGAUAUAUCAUGGGGAAAGUGACCUACUUGGCAGGAAAACUCUUGAGGACCUUGUCAAGUUCGAUGUCAAUGCAUCAGAUGGGCGCCACAAGCAUCUUCUCCAAGUUCGUCACAAGCAUGGAUCCGAAGUGCUCCUGGGUCAACUUCUCUUUCUCAUCAUGAUGCACCAUUGCGGAGCCGGUGGACGAAGUUCUUCCUUCUACGGGUAUUCACAUGAAGGUGACACAAAAUCACGUGUUGGCGGCACCCUCAGGUUACCUGGAAGGGCCUUUGCAAUGGGAGGGCACGUAUGGCUUAGUAGAGCAAAUGAAGUUGACAGCAAGGCCUUCUCAAGAGCAAUACUUGCCAGGGGGAAGACACACACUGGUCAGCCAAAGCCAGAGCCAAACAAGUUCACACCGGAAUACGAUGACGAUGAAAUGGAGUACGAUGACAACGAGAUCGACACGGAAUGCGCGUCAGGGAGGAGCAGCGAGCUGAUGCAGGUUGAGAUGUCGGAAAGGGUGAGAGAUGGCUGCUCAAGCAACCUUGGCGAUGAGAUCCAAAUGCUAAUGGUUUGCCAGAACAGCGGUGAUCAUUCCAAUUUACAUGGGCAAGAUGAGCCCUGGCAUUUUCUCUAUGAGGAGUUAUGCAGUGGCUACCCUCAGUCGUCAGGUGAAGACCAAGCAAUGGCUGAAAAUGCUCACUACGCACACACAGUCUCGCUGAUCCUGCAUCGCAACAACGCCCUGAGACAGUCAGACGGGCCGAACACCAGGUCCUACCUGGCAGUCUCACACCAAUCUUCAUUCUCCAGAUGGGAUGCUGGCAUCCAUGGACGCGCGGUCGCCGAAGGCACCACCCGGCAGAAGAUGCUCAAGAGUGUCCUCCUGUUCUUCAAUGCUGCCUGCAACAAGCCACCGGGUGAUCUCAGGUGCGACGAUGCCGGUGCGCGAAGGGAGGUCGACUUCGGCGCCAGCCAUGUCAUGCAGGAGCGGAAGAGAAGGGAGAAGCUCAACGAGCGGUUCAUCGUCCUGCGUUCCCUGAUGGACAAGGCCUCGAUCCUCGGCGACACGAUCGAGUACGUGAAGCAGCUGACCAAACGCAUCCAGGACCUUGAGUCCUCUGUGGCCAGGCAGCAGGUUCACGGUGACCUGCUGGUGCCCAAGGGGUCGUCAGAGAGGCGUGCGCUGAUGGGCAUGGAAGGGCCCAGCAGCAGCAGCGGUAGCAGCAGCAGCGCCCCUGUGGCCACGGACGUGCAGGUCUCCAUCAUCGAGAGCGACGCGCUGCUGGAGCUCCGGUGCCCCGACAGGCGCGGCCUGCUGGUGACCAUCAUGCAGGCGCUCCAGGAGCAGCUCCGGCUCGAGGUCACCUCCGUCCAGGCCUCGUCGGACCGCGGCGUGCUGCUCGCGGAAAUGCGAGCCAAGGUGAGGGAGGUGCAUGGGAGGAGGAGCAGCAUUUCUCAAGUGAAGAGAGCGAUCCAUCUCAUCAUCUCAUCGGGAUGA